GACGAACGCUGGCGGCGUGCUUAACACAUGCAAGUCGAACGGAAAGGCCCUGCUUUUGUGGGGUGCUCGAGUGGCGAACGGGUGAGUAACACGUGAGUAACCUGCCCUUGACUUUGGGAUAACUUCAGGAAACUGGGGCUAAUACCGGAUAGGAGCUCCUGCUGCAUGGUGGGGGUUGGAAAGUUUCGGCGGUUGGGGAUGGACUCGCGGCUUAUCAGCUUGUUGGUGGGGUAGUGGCUUACCAAGGCUUUGACGGGUAGCCGGCCUGAGAGGGUGACCGGCCACAAUGGGACUGAGAGACGGCCCAGACUCCUACGGGAGGCAGCAGUGGGGAAUAUUGCACAAUGGGCGGAAGCCUGAGGCAGCAACGCCGCGUGCGGGAUGACGGCCUUCGGGUUGUAAACCGCUUUCGCCUGUGACGAAGCGUGAGUGACGGUAAUGGGUAAAGAAGCACCGGCUAACUACGUG
rnacentral:rRNA from 1 species